rfam:Algibacter sp. SK-16 scaffold12_cov60_read183, whole genome shotgun sequence.
ACGCCCUGUAUGGCUUGAGUUAGGAAACAAUCUCAGUGCACGGUAAUGUGCAUAGGAAGCCUAAGCAGGGUUUUU